GACGAACGCUGGCGGCGUGCUUAACACAUGCAAGUCGAACGGAAAGGCCCUGCUUUUGUGGGGUGCUCGAGUGGCGAACGGGUGAGUAACACGUGAGUAACCUGCCCUUGACUUUGGGAUAACUUCAGGAAACUGGGGCUAAUACCGGAUAGGAGCUCCUGCUGCAUGGUGGGGGUUGGAAAGUUUCGGCGGUUGGGGAUGGACUCGCGGCUUAUCAGCUUGUUGGUGGGGUAGUGGCUUACCAAGGCUUUGACGGGUAGCCGGCCUGAGAGGGUGACCGGCCACAUUGGGACUGAGAUACGGCCCAGACUCCUACGGGAGGCAGCAGUGGGGAAUAUUGCACAAUGGGCGGAAGCCUGAUGCAGCAACGCCGCGUGCGGGAUGACGGCCUUCGGGUUGUAAACCGCUUUCGCCUGUGACGAACGUGAGUGACGGUAAUGGGUAAAGAAGCACCGGCUAACUACGU
rnacentral:rRNA from 1 species